rnacentral:rRNA from 1 species
AACGAACGCUGGCGGCGCGCCUAAUACAUGCAAGUCGAGCGAGAAGACGUAGCAAUACGUUUGUAAAGCGGCGAACGGGUGAGGAAUACAUGGGUAACCUACCCUCGAGUGGGGAAUAACUAGCCGAAAGGUUAGCUAAUACCGCGUACGCUCCUUGGACUUCGGUUCAGGGAGGAAAGCGAUACCGUGGGUAUCGCGCUCUUGGAUGGGCUCAUGUCCUAUCAGCUUGUUGGUGAGGUAACGGCUCACCAAGGCUUCGACGGGUAGCUGGUCUGAGAGGACGAUCAGCCACACUGGCACUGCGACACGGCCCAGACUCCUACGGGAGGCAGCAGUGGGGGAGUAUUGCGCAAUGGGCGAAAGCCUGACGCAGCGACGCCGCGUGGGUGAUGAAGGCC